CAGUCACGCUGUCAGUCGCGUCUCGCUCGGAUCACUUCUACUGAGUACGCAGUAUCCUAAUCAGUCUUUUGUUUCCUGUCCAGAACUUUCAGUGACUGUACUCUUGUCUGGAAUCUCCACGCCUGCUUCCUUGCCUGCACUCCUGUCUGCUGAAAUCGCCACUUGACCCAGAGCUUGCAUCGCAAGACAUUGCCGCCUGCCAGAGUCCCAGUCUCCUAACCCUGCGGCCACUCGUUGAACUAAAUAACAUCUCUCAAUUCUGACCUGCAUUCCCGUAGCUGCUCUUGGGUCCCCUCCUGCACCACAAACCUUAACAUGAAGGCUUUGAGGAGCCACAGCAGCCAGCGGUAUGUCCAGUCAAAAGUUCCUGGAGCCAACGUGAGUGACAUCAUGCACGAUGUGUUCGCGAGAUUACAAUUCCAGCAACACGGCAUCAUCAUACUGGUGCCCGGUGCCAAGGACUAAAAUGUGUGAAGUGCGAGCCUGUUCAUCAUCUCGAGUGGCUAUCAGAUGCUUGGAAACAAAACGCCGGCCGGAGAUGCUUUUGUGCCACCAAUUGUUGUUGGGGAUGUUGCCAACACCACAAGUUACUCAGUGCUAAUGUCAGUACUUACUUUUUUAUA